rnacentral:rRNA from 1 species
UGAUCGAAGCCCCGGUAAACGGCGGCCGUAACAAUAACGGUCCUAAGGUAGCGAAAUUCCUUGUCGGGUAAGUUCCGACCUGCACGAAUGGCGUAACGAUGGGGGCGCUGUCUCUACCCGAGACUCAGUGAAAUUGAAAUCGCAGUGAAGAUGCUGUGUACCCGCACCUAGACGGAAAGACCCCGUGAACCUUUACUAUAGCUUCACAGU